rnacentral:rRNA from 1 species
AGAGUUUGAUCCUGGCUCAGAAUGAACGCUGGCGGCAUGGCUAAGACAUGCAAGUCGAACGAUAUGAUUGAUUGGGUAACCGAAAAAUCAUAUAGUGGCGAAAGGGUGCGGAAUAGAUAGGUAACAUACCUUGGGUUUCAGGAUAGCGUUCCGAAAGGGACGGUAAUACUGAAUGACAUCAACGGCUUUGAGGCGGUUGAUCAAAGAUUUAUCGACCUGAGAGUGGCCUAUCUCCUAUCAGCUAGUUGGUGAGGUAAUGGCCCACCAAGGCAAUGACGGGUAGCGGGACUGAGAGGUUGACCCGCCACAUCGGGACUGAGACACUGCCCGGACCUCCACGGAGGGCUGCAGUAACGAAUAUUGGGCAAUGGGCGAAAGCCUGACCCAGCGAUGCCGCGUAUAGGAUGAAGUUCUUCGGAAUGUAAACUAUUGUCAGGGGCUAGAAAGCCGUAAGGUUGAUCAGCCCCAGAGGAAGUCACGACUAACUUCGUGCCAGCAGUCGCGGUAAUACGAAGGUGACAAGCGUUAUUCGAAAUCACUGGGCUUAAAGGGUGCGCAGGCGGAAAUGUAAGUGUCUUGUGAAAUACCUUGGCUUAACCAAGGCAUUGCUCGGCAAACUGCAUUUCUUGAGGCAAGUAGAGGUGUGUGGAACUCUUGGUGGAGCGGUGGAAUGCGUAGAUAUCAAGAGGAACGCCGAAGGUGAAGACAGCACACUGGACUUGUCCUGACGCUCAUGCACGAAAGCGUGGGGAGCAAACAGGAUUAGAUACCCUGGUAGUCCACGCCCUAAACGAUGUCAACUAGGUUGUAGAGGCUCUGACGCCGUUGCAGCCGAAGCAAAAGUGUUAAGUUGACCGCCUGGGGAGUACGGUCGCAAGGCUAAAACUCAAAGGAAUUGACGG